rnacentral:rRNA from 1 species
GUCCACGCUGUAAACGAUGGGAACUAGGUGUGAGGGGUUUUGCCCCCUCGUGCCGCAGCUAACGCAUUAAGUUCCCCGCCUGGGGAUUACGGCCGCAAGGUUAAAACUCAAAGGAAUUGACGGGGGCCCGCACAAGCGGUGGAGCAUGUGGUUCAAUUCGACGCAACGCGAAGAACCUUACCUGGGCUAGACAACGGCGGACCGCCUCAGAGAUGAGGCUUCCCCUUCGGGGGCUGCCUGUUCAGGUGCUGCAUGGCUGUCGU